AUUGAACGCUGGCGGCAGGCCUAACACAUGCAAGUCGAGCGGAUGAAGGGAGCUUGCUCCUGGAUUCAGCGGCGGACGGGUGAGUAAUGCCUAGGAAUCUGCCUGGUAGUGGGGGAUAACGUCUGGAAACGGGCGCUAAUACCGCAUACGUCCUGAGGGAGAAAGUGGGGGAUCUUCGGACCUUACGCUAUCAGAUGAGCCUAGGUCGGAUUAGCUAGUUGGUGGGGUAAAGGCCUACCAAGGCGACGAUCCGUAACUGGUCUGAGAGGAUGAUCAGUCACACUGGAACUGAGACACGGACCAGACUCCUACGGGAGGCAGCAGUGGGGAAUAUUGGACAAUGGGCGAAAGCCUGAUCCAGCCAUGCCGCGUGUGUGAAGAAGGUCUUCGGAUUGUAAAGCACUUUAAGUUGGGAGGAAGGGCAGUAAGUUAAUACCUUGCUGUUUUGACGUUACCAACAGAAUAAGCACCGGCUAACUUCGUG
rnacentral:rRNA from 1 species